UACGUAGGGGGCAAGCGUUAUCCGGAUUUACUGGGUGUAAAGGGGGCGUAGACGGCUGUGCAAGUCUGAAGUGAAAGGCAUGGGCUCAACCUGUGGACUGCUUUGGAAACUGUGCAGCUAGAGUGUCGGAGAGGUAAGUGGAAUUCCUAGUGUAGCGGUGAAAUGCGUAGAUAUUAGGAGGAACACCAGUGGCGAAGGCGGCUUACUGGACGAUGACUGACGUUGAGGCUCGAAAGCGUGGGGAGCAAACAGG
rnacentral:rRNA from 1 species